GAAAUGCGAUAAGUAGUGUGAAUUGCAGAAUUCAGUGAAUCAUCGAAUCUUUGAACGCACAUUGCGCCCCUUGGUAUUCCAUGGGGCAUGCCUGUUCGAGCGUCAUUUGUACCCUCAAGCUCUGCCUGGUGUUGGGUGUUUGUCCCGUCUCCGCGCGUGGACUCGCCCCAAAGUGAUUGGCAGCCGGCGUACUGGUCCCGGAGCGCAGCACAUGUCGCGCAAACGAGUGCCUUGGUACGGCGGCGUCCAUAAGCCCCUCUCUCACGCUCUUGACCUCGGAUCAGGUAGGGAUACCCGCUGAACUUAAGC
rnacentral:misc_RNA from 1 species